UACGAAGGGUGCAAGCGUUACUCGGAAUUACUGGGCGUAAAGCGUGCGUAGGUGGUUUGUUAAGUCUGUUGUGAAAGCCCCGGGCUCAACCUGGGAAUGGCAAUGGAUACUGGCAGGCUAGAGUGCGGUAGAGGGUAGUGGAAUUCCCGGUGUAGCGGUGAAAUUCGUAGAUAUCGGGAGGAACACCAGUGGCGAAGGCGCCUGCUGGACCGGCACUGACGCUGAGACGCGAAAGCGUGGGUAGCAAACAGG
rnacentral:rRNA from 1 species